UACGUAGGCAGCAAGCGUUGUUCGGAGUUACUGGGCGUAAAGGGUGCGUAGGCGGUUGUUUAAGUUUGGUGUGAAAUCUCCCGGCUCAACCGGGAGGGUGCGCCGAAUACUGAAUGACUAGAGUGCGGGAGAGGAGAGUGGAAUUCCUGGUGUAGCGGUGAAAUGCGUAGAUAUCAGGAGGAACACCGGUGGUGUAGGCGGCUCUCUGGACCGUAACUGACGCUGAGGCACGAAAGCGUGGGUAGCAAACAGG
rnacentral:rRNA from 1 species